rnacentral:lncRNA from 1 species
UUCUUUCUUUUUCUUACUUUUCCAGAUUUUUGCUUCUUUUUUCUUUCUUUUUACCGUGGGAUCAUUCACCUAUUUGCACCGGUCUGCUUACUCGAUGGUAAUUCAGAUGGUGCUGACUGCUAGGAUAAACUACUCAAAGACUUAUUUAGGGGCGAUAUUUCAAGGUCGUGGCAUAACAAGUAUCCAAAUUGAUCUCCGUAAUUAG